rnacentral:hammerhead_ribozyme from 1 species
AUUCAAUUGACGAGUCCGAAAUAGGAUGAAACCCACGUCAAACUGGAU